UUGAGAGUUGCACUGGUCUGAGGCAUUCGCUGCCGAGCUCACACACAGAUCACAGAGCAUGGCGAAGUUUCUGAAACCAGCUGAACACCCAGUCAACUGCUGGAACCCUACGUGAAUGUGCAUAUGCAUCUAACACAAGAAAUGAAAAGCCCCCCUUUUUGUGGAUACUCCUCAGUGUGUUAAGGUCCUCGUGCACCGAGAAUGAGGCUGGCUCAUGUGAGGCGUAGAUGUCUGCAAUUCCGAAGCUUCCAGAAGAUCCCAGCAAAAACGCUCUGGUCGUGUCUUCAACACACUGACGAACUUGCAGCCGGAAGAACCAAAACAGGGCUGUGAGGAGGGGGGGAACAGGCUGCAAAAUGCAUGCAUUUCCUGAGCACAGACUGCAGCCAGCUCUGUAUGGGGGUGGGGGAACUAUCCGCAGCCAGGACUGUGGAGUUGCAACGAGUCCAGUUCUGUGAGCAGGCCCUCACGGAGCGAAGCUGCCAACAUUCAGGGUUUAUGUGAAAAUAACUUGGAUGGCCUUCUAUUGACAUGUGUUCAACUGACCCCAGCCACCAGGAAGCAAUCAAAGAACAAAGAAAAACACAGCACGGGAAUAGGCCCUUUGGCCCUCAAAGCCUGCAAAUACAUGCUGAUCGUCACAACCAAAAAAAAUCUAGGAAAUUCUGAACCAUUCCUGACUGCGUAAACUAAAGCCGCUCACCAAUAUUCUUCACGCAACAGUCAUUCCUAAUGACAUGCCCAAUAUGGGUGUGAAGAUUUUGCAAAUUUGAAACACAGAAUGGACAAAACCGCUUAUCAGAUGGCGACCAGCGCAUCCCGUGACUUUGGCAAUAUCAGGCAAGAGCAAACUCAAGCAAAUAUUGCGUUGAAGUAUGAGCAAUUCCAGGUUAUUGUGAAACUCACAAGUCUGUUAUUGGGUUAAACUGUAAAUAAACAGACAUAUAAUACACCA